CAUGUGUUAGCGUAUUAUUUGUUUUGUGAUGGACCUGUAUUUUUAUCAGUUUGAAUGCACGUAUAAUUAUUAUUUGGAUGAUGUAAUCGGACUAUGAAUUGUGAGUCACGUGGUCAUGUACUGUCAUGCUCCCUCAUGAUUGUUAUGCCUUGAUGCGUAUGGUCCAUGCAGGGGCACACAGUCAUCUGUUUGUGUGUGCAUGUGUGUGUGUGUAUUCCAGCUGUAACUGUUCCUUGUAACUAGCAAUAAUAAUAGAAUUGGUGAUCUUUACCAAAUCACCAAACCAUCAAAGAAGAGAAGAGACCCUGCAUGCUGGUGCAACUUACAGAGCUCUAGAUCUUGUGAAACUACUCCUAAGAAUGAGGAAAUAUGACAUUGCUAGUAAAGUGUUCAAACAUUGCCAAGAGAAUGUGUUGUACAGUGCGUGAGGUGUGUGCCAAGUUCACCUCCAUGCCAUUGUCACUGAGGUGACGAGUACUGUCUCAAUACUAGCCCUUUAAAAUGUACACAUUUACAAUCUGGCCACUUUAAUUACAAGUGGUUGUUAACGUGAGCUAGUUUUGUAGUAGCUAAUAGCAGAUUUACUUCUGUUGGGAAGUCACAUUUCUUUGCUACCAUU